UUAUCAUACCACUGCAACAAACGAUUCAUUCAUUCAGACAGCAAUGUUUCAGGUAAUCGGAUGUUGUUGAUAUUCAGGUGACAUACAGCAGAGAAGUUUCCUAAGAGCACUUUCUGUUCUUGUCAGCAAGAAACAUGCAGCAAGAGGAGAGGCAAAGUACACCCUUUCUCCUGCAUAUGAAAUAGGGUUACAAGUUUAAUCAUGGAAUCAGCAUAAAGUCAUAGGGCAUUAGAUCUUUUCAUCUCCAUACUGCAUGUAAGGCCCUAUUUACUCCAUCUUCUACAGCUAUCCCUGACAGUGUAUUUUUAAUGGUUUAUUAUUGGUCCAUGCAUUCAUGCUAGGGUUAAAACAAGGUUUCCAUUACAAGCCAAGUUUUGAAUAAAGGUUUGUACCCACCACGAUUCUGAGAGUCCAGCAAAAGCAGGGUUUUAUUUUCCAGCUUCCAGGGAAGUUUACUGGAAAGAAUGGCCUACAAUUGCAGACAGGCCUCACUCCACCAGUCCUGUGAGUCUGAACGUGACUUGGCACAGUUUCUGUCAUCACAAGACCUCUGCAAAAGACCUCUUAGUCAGAACAGUCAUUUUUUUCUCUGGAUCCUCUGUUCUCCAACACUUCCUUUGAAUGGCCUUCCUUCGACGGGAGGACUUGUCAGGACUAACCUCAAAGCCUGACAGCUUGUCCAGCUCCACUGUAAGGCAGAUACUUUUCUGCCUACACAAAGAGACUCAGUAAUCCUUUAAUGUCCUUUCUAGAGGCCAGGUAUUGCCACCAUAGAAUGAAUGCAAUUGUCCUCUCUGCUAACUAAAACUGGCAACUCUUUCAUUACCAAAGAAUAUGCCAGAAGCUCUCCCACUUAUUCUUGGAAGGCAUAAACCUUUCAAGAUUGAAGUUUAAAUGCUAUUUCCUCAUCAGCAUUGUAUUCAGUCCAGAACCAAGGGUGGGAAUGAGAUAUGUAUUUACAGUUAUUAAAUGACUAAUACAGAAAAGUUCUCUUUGAACACUAUUGUAAAACCCCACAGAGAAGGGCAACAAAAGAGAAACCAAUCAUAGAAUGUACCUUGUCAUAGUGGUUUUUGCCUGUACUACAAAAGAGAAUUAACUAGACAUUCUUAUAUCAGGAUCAGUUUUGGCAUAGUAUGAAUUUUCUUUGAAACCAGCAGUUUGCUGUAUUGGUUGGACAUCCUGUUUUCAGUCAUUGUAGAAAUCUUACAGGUGCUGCUGUUAUAUGGUCAUAACAGCACCAUUUAUUGCUAGAUAUGGUCAUAAUAGCACUGCCUAUUGCUAGAUAUACAGGGUUGCAGUUUUCCCUUUGAUUAAAAUAGAAAAUUGCCAAAUCCAAACUGAGUGGAAGUUAAGUUUCUAUUUUCCUGAACAAUCAGUUCUGGUGGCCCCUAGGCAGUAAGCCUGUGCAAGUAGGCAGCUAUUCGAUCUGGCUUCAGAUCUGGCCGCU